AACGUCAUCGUAAAAUAUAAAAAAGACAAUCAUGAAAAAUCUUAUGUCAAUCAUUAUAAAAAUCUAAAAGUAUAAAUAAACUAAUAAUUAUGAUAAAAAACUGUUCGUAACACAGUACCUAGAGUUGAACAUGUUUAUUAUGGUGUAAAAACUGAAGCUGGAGCAAGGUCUGGGUAAAUUAUCAAAGGUGGCAAUAUAACAUGAGUAAAUACUCUACAUACUCGCUUAAGAGUUUAAAACCUUGUGUAUCGGCACCAUCAUGUAGCGUACACAGGCACCGACCCCGGCCAGCUCCGUGCCCAGAACCGGACAAGUGCUACAAGAAAUGUAUCAAGCGCAAGAGGAAAUGUCCCAGCGCCUCCGAAACCGUCAGCAGGAGGGGCAUGCCUUGCGAUUGCGCUAGAUUGCAGUCCAAGGAAUCCAGAAUCAGUAACAAAAAAUCACAUAAAACUCACAAAAAGCGGAUGCGCAAAGUUAUGCGGACACGAUCGAUGGAAUCCCGUUGGCGUAAACAGAGAAAAUGCUGUGUUAUUUUGUAGUAUAUUUCAUUACUUAGAAAACAGCAGCAAAGAAUUUCAGAACGAUAUCUCUAAUUUAAAGUUCAUGUUGUACGAAAACAAACAAUUUGUAUUUCAAUUCUAAUAAGAAAACCUUUUUAUAAUUUUUAAACAAAAAAAAAUCUGUCUUUCAUGAACAUGUUUGUUAAUGACCUCAUUAGUUGUAAUGCUGAAAUUAUAGACUUGCGAUAAUA